rnacentral:rRNA from 1 species
GAUGAACGCUGGCGGCGUGCCUAAUACAUGCAAGUCGAGCGAACAGACGAGGAGCUUGCUCCUCUGACGUUAGCGGCGGACGGGUGAGUAACACGUGGAUAACCUACCUAUAAGACUGGGAUAACUUCGGGAAACCGGAGCUAAUACCGGAUAACAUGUUGAACCGCAUGGUUCAACAGUGAAAGACGGUCUUGCUGUCACUUAUAGAUGGAUCCGCGCCGCAUUAGCUAGUUGGUAAGGUAACGGCUUACCAAGGCAACGAUGCGUAGCCGACCUGAGAGGGUGAUCGGCCACACUGGAACUGAGACACGGUCCAGACUCCUACGGGAGGCAGCAGUAGGGAAUCUUCCGCAAUGGGCGAAAGCCUGACGGAGCAACGCCGCGCGAGUGAAGAAGGUCUUCGGAUCGUAAAACUCUGUUAUUAGGGAAGAACAAAUGUGUAAGUAACUAUGCACGUCUUGACGGUACCUAAUCAGAAAGCCACGGCUAACUACGU